GAUGAACGCUGGCGGCGUGCUUAACACAUGCAAGUCGAACGAAGCUGCCUGGAGGAAGUUUUCGGAUGGAAUUUAGGUAGACUUAGUGGCGGACGGGUGAGUAACGCGUGGAUAACCUGCCUUAUGCAGGGGGAUAACGGAGAGAAAUUUCCGCUAACACCGCAUAAGACCACAGCACCGCAUGGUGCAGGGGUAAAAUAUUUAUAGGUAUAAGAUGGAUCCGCGUCCGAUUAGCUAGUUGGUGAGGUAAAGGCCCACCAAGGCGACGAUCGGUAGCCGGCCUGAGAAGGUGAUCGGCCACAUUGGAACUGAGACACGGUCCAAACUCCUACGGGAGGCAGCAGUGGGGAAUAUUGCACAAUGGGCGAAAGCCUGAUGCAGCAACGCCGCGUGAACGAUGAAGGUCUUCGGAUCGUAAAGUUCUGUUGCAGGGGAAGAUAAUGACGGUACCCUGUGAGGAAGCCCCGGCUAACUACGUGCCAGCAGCCGCGGUAAUACGUAGGGGGCAAGCGUUAUCCGGAUUUACUGGGUGUAAAGGGAGCGCAGACGGCAAUGCAAGUCUGAAGUGAAAGGCGUGGGCUCAACCCAUGAACUGCAUUUGAAACUGGCAAGCUAGAGUCUUGUAGAGGGGGGUAGAAUUCCAGGUGUAGCGGUGAAAUGCGUAGAGAUCUGGAGGAAUACCGGUGGCGAAGGCGGCCCCCUGGACAAAGACUGACGCUCAGGUGCGAAAGCGUGGGGAGCAAACAGG
rnacentral:rRNA from 1 species